UAAGAAGCCAGUUGUCUCAUCUUCACUGGAGAAAAACAUUAGUAGAUGCAGCUACUAAAUCUUUAGUAACCGAAACAUUGGUAAAAUAUACACGUUUUUUGUACAUAUUACCAAAUCUUUGUAAAACUUAUAUCAAAUGCAAUGCUUAGCAACUGUGUGUGUGCAUUCGCCAUUUCUCUAGUGGAAGUGGAGCGAUUUGGAGCUUCUAAUUGUAGAAAACAAAUUGCACUAAGCAAUCAUCAGCUGAACUAAACUACCAGCGCCGAUUCGGACAACAUCGUCUUGGAUGAGGAGCAGCAGCACCUGCGCAGAUCUUCGGUGUUGGCCCAACUGCUGCUCACAACAAACUUCUGCGAAAAUGAAAAACUGCAAAGGUUUGUGUGAAUAUUAAUAUUAUAAUAUA